AUGUGGACUACCAUGAACAAAACUAUUUGGAAGGUUUGGGAACCACGAAAGGUCAAGUUCUUCUCAUAUCUGGUGAUACAGAACAAAAUUUGGACGACUGACAGGUUGACGAAGAGAGGAUGGGAAAAUUUUGGCCUCUGCACUCUUUGCAAGCGGGACAACGAAACAUCCGCCCACUUGUUCUACAAAUGUCGAUACACGAUGCGUGUUUGGCGACUAUUGAAGGUGUGGCUGGGGUUAGGAGCACUAGAGAUUAAUAGAUGGGAAACGAAGUGCAGUACUAAGAGUUGGUGGACCAAUAUGUCGGAGCCCAAUACCGCACACCGGAAGGCUAUGGCUUCCCUCACCAUGCUUAUUUGUUGUGUCCUUUGGAACAAGAGAAAUGCUAGGGUGUUUCGAAAGAAUUCCACACCUACCCCCCUCCCCGGGCGCCCCCCUUCUACAUACUCAAGCUCAUCCAGAACAAGGCCAGACUUAGGAUCACUGUAG
rnacentral:rRNA from 1 species